rnacentral:rRNA from 1 species
AUUGAAUGCUGGCGGCAUGCUUUACACAUGCAAGUCGAACGGCAGCGCGGGCUUCGGCCUGGCGGCGAGUGGCGAACGGGUGAGUAACGCAUCGGAACGUGCCCAGUAGUGGGGGAUAGCCCGGCGAAAGCCGGAUUAAUACCGCAUACGACCUGAGGGUGAAAGCGGGGGACCGAAAGGCCUCGCGCUAUUGGAGCGGCCGAUGUCGGAUUAGCUAGUUGGUGGGGUAAAGGCUUACCAAGGCGACGAUCCGUAGCUGGUCUGAGAGGACGACCAGCCACACUGGGACUGAGACACGGCCCAGACUCCUACGGGAGGCAGCAGUGGGGAAUUUUGGACAAUGGGGGCAACCCUGAUCCAGCCAUGCCGCGUGCGGGAAGAAGGCCUUCGGGUUGUAAACCGCUUUUGUUCGGGAAGAAAUCCUCUGGGCUAAUACCCCGGGGGGAUGACGGUACCGGAAGAAUAAGCACCGGCUAACUACGUG